rnacentral:rRNA from 1 species
UACUUGCUUACUUGUGUUAGUUUUUAGGUACGGUAUUUGCUUUUUAAUAGACAAGGGACGGUCCGCCUCGUCUAUACUCUAAUUAAGCAUGUAGUUUUACGUUUUUCCAGAGCAUUUGUCACUUUAGUUAGUACACUAGCACCUUAGUUCCAGUUACUAUUUUAACAAGUACCUUAGCUCUAGUAUACUAACACAAACGCUGUUUUUAUUUAUAUAGUGUGUUUAGUCAAAACCUACUAAAUAUUUUUAUUUUCUUUAAAGAAAACUUUAAUACACUUUUCAACUUUACGCGUUCAAUGUGUUUCCAUAAGCAUCCAUUCUUAUUUUCCGUAAAACUUAGAUUUUUUCUAAAAAAUUUUUUCUAAAAAAAUUUUUCUCAUCGUUUAUACCAUUAGGUAACUUUACUUUAUCACGUUUUUAAUUAGAGCUAAAUAACCCAGUAAAGUAAAGCAAAUUUAAACUAAGAGGCCGUUACUUUAAGUAAAUUCCAUAAGCUUUAGGCGAGGGUAUAAACCCUUUAUCGUUACUCAUGUCAGCAUUAUCACUUGGGUAAUCUAAUCUUAAGUCUUAAAAAGAAAAAAUCUGAGAUAUGCCCAAUGUUCCGCUACCCCAUAUAUAUUCUAUGUAACUUGUACAUAUAAAUAUUUAUGGACAAGGUCUCGGUAUAUUAUUUAGAUCCGCUAAAUCUUAGGUGCAUCUAACAAUACAUACAAAAUUGUAUAAAACCAGUGCUCUGUUACGAGGUCUUUAAAAAAUGGCCGCUCCUAAGCCCAUUUCCUGGUUGGCUUGGAUAAACACUACCUUAUUUUCACUUAACAAUAAUUUUGGAAU